AGGUGGUGGUGGUGGUGGUGGUGGUGGUGGUGGUGGUGGUGCGGUUGGGUGGGAGCGGAGGGUGCGGUGAGGGCGGGACGCUCUGGGUUGUGUGAGGGCGGGAGGGCGCCACCCUGUCCCCUAAAAUACUUGGCACCACCCUAUCCCCUAAAAUACUUGGCACCGCGGCACCUUUUAAUUUUUCUCGCUGUGGUGCUUGUCCCCCUCCUUUCUCUGUUGUUGGCCUGUCCAAAUCGGCGGUGAGGCUUUACCAGUCAAGUCCAAGGGCCCGGCUCUUCUCGUGAAGGGGCCACAUGGCCAGAAUGUAUUAAAAAAAAAAUAAAUCUGUGACUUGAGAUAACCUUUUAAGGGUAAGGCUUAUUUAAAUGGGGCACAGCUUUCCUGUGGACUGAUCCAAGAAUGUGGAAUUAAUUCUCCAGGAGCUGUGGACAAUUGUAAAUCUGUUGUUCAGCGCGAGGCAUGUUCUUUGGCACUGGGCUUCUCUGACAGAAGUACAUAACUUCAGUUGUACUUUAACAUAAAAACUUCAAAGGAUCCAUGGAGAUUGUCAUGUUCCUUCCGAAGCAUCUGCAAUAUAGCAGCAGCAAUAGCGUUUUUACCAUGAGGUCACCGUGUCAACUACCAACAACAUAAUCGUCAUAAUUAAGAAAUUAUGUUUUAACCUGAUGAUGGAUGAUUCUUCUGCUGCUUGUUAGAAGAUUUUGUGUGUUCAGGCACAUGGCUCCUUUUGUUCUGUAAAAUACAAAAAUGGUUUAAUCCUCCUGACAUUUCGAUCCUGAAUUCUGUCUCCAUAGUACUGGAGCUACUAAACUGCUUUGCGCUGAAAUUCCAGAAAGCUGGAUACGUCAUUUCAUGUUCAGCUUUCCCAGAAACCCAGCACACAAUCCCAUCACCCCUUCAACAUCUACACAAUUCUCAGCGCAAGAGAGACUACAAAAGGCCAAGAUCCAUGGAGUCAGCAGAGGGGGAGACAGAAAAACAAGGUUUCCACUGAGGAGAGAGAGGCCACGGCGAUUACCUUGAGCGAUCCUU
rnacentral:lncRNA from 1 species